ACUCAAAUGAAUUGACGGGGGUCCGCACAAGCGGCGGAGCAUGUGGAUUAAUUCGAUGCAACGCGAAGAACCUUACCUGGGUUUGACAUGGGCCGGACGCUCGCAGAGAUGUGGGUUCCCUUGUGGUCGGUUCACAGGUGGUGCAUGGCUGUCGUCAGCUCGUGUCGUGAGAUGUUGGGUUAAGUCCCGCAACGAGCGCAACCCUUGUCCUGUGUUGCCAGCGCGUGAUGGCGGGGACUCGCAGGAGACUGCCGGGGUCAACUCGGAGGAAGGUGGGGACGACGUCAAGUCAUCAUGCCCCUUAUGUCCAGGGCUUCACACAUGCUACAAUGGCCGGUACAGAGGGCUGCGAUGCCGUGAGGCGGAGCGAAUCCCGUAAAGCCGGUCUCAGUUCGGAUCGGGGUCUGCAACUCGACCCCGUGAAGUCGGAGUCGCUAGUAAUCGCAGAUCAGCAAUGCUGCGGUGAAUACGUUCCCGGGCCUUGUACACACCGCCCGU
rnacentral:rRNA from 1 species